rnacentral:lncRNA from 1 species
ACUAUCUGCUUCAAAACACAUGCGUUUGGUACGACCGCUUCGAGGGGCGUCUGAACAGCUACGAAGGUAUGACGAACGAGAGGUAUUUCGACUUUUCUUUUCGAGGCUACUCCAAAACGGAAUACACGGUAGCCGCCACUUACGAUGACGAUAGUCUACUGGCCACUUCCGCCUUUUGGGGCUCGACAUCCCAUAUCCUCUUCCAGGUAAUCCACGAGAUCUCGAGAAAAAUCGGAUCCAAAGCAAAUUACUUCAAUCUGCCGGACGAUUCGAUCACCAUGAGUAGUGACGAUGGUCUGAGGCACAACGUGGAUCUCAUCGUUUACGAAAGUAGCUACGACCCCAAAAAAUCGGAGCUCCCCAUAUCCCACCAUCCUCCGAUCAUUGAAUCUUUCAGUUACUGUCUGCUCGCACCGCGGCGCGGAUUCAUGCCUCAAUACCUCGUGGUCGUCAAAUGCUUUUCUCCUCCGGUAUGGGCGGCUAUACUAAUGGCAAUAUGCACUUCUUGGUUCAUGCAGUGGUUUUUCCAAUGGUCUCAAGUUACGCAUUUCACACACUUUUACUCCGAUGCAGAGAUCCUCGCUUACGAAGAAUCCCCAGCAUUUCUCGCUAUUUAUUCGUAUCUCUUGAGUGGAAGCCCACCCGUUCUCCUUCUGGGAAAGCUUAUAACCGGGAAGAUCUGUUUCCUCGUCUUCACUUUUUUCAGUCUCAUCGUGGGCACCGUCCUUCAGAGUGGGAUGACGACCUUGCUGAGCAGCUACGUGCGCUACGCCGACAUCGAGACCCUGCAGGAAUUGGAACAGUCCGGACUGUACAUACAAACUCCGGACACUGAAAUACUUCCGGGACUCCUGGAUCAGUCCGGUCACGCGUCGCUCCGCGAUCGGCUGACCAAAAGCAAGUUCUACUACGAUGAACUCUUUCCGGACCCCCUUGCGGAAUUUGAAGAGACACGCGCCGUCCUACCGACCGCAAACGCUACGAAUGAGCUGAAAGCGACUCUCAUGAAGAGUGUCGAUUCGAUCAUGGAGGUAGAUGCAUUCGCGGCUAGGAUACCCUACUCGUUGCUCUCGGCGAAGAACCGCAUACCGGUAGACGCGGGAGAGAAUAUUGAGCUUCACUUGAUAGACGAGUGUUUGGUGGCCUACCCGUUUUCGUACCUGAUCGUCAAGAAUUCAAUUCUCACCGAAAUGUUCGACGAAAGCGUUCUUCGGCUAC